UGGUGGAGUGAUUUGUCUGGUUAAUUCCGUUAACGAACGAGACCCCUCCUUACUAAAUAGUCCGGUGAGUGAAUUUCACUGAUUAGGGCUUCUUAGAAGGACGUGCAUUCUAUUAGAUGCAGGAAGAUAGGGGCAAUAACA
rnacentral:rRNA from 1 species